rnacentral:rRNA from 1 species
UACGGAGGGUGCAAGCGUUAAUCGGAAUUACUGGGCGUAAAGCGCAACGCAGGCGGUCUGUCAAGUCGGAUGUGAAAUCCCCGGGCUUAACCUGGGAACUGCAUUCGAAACUGGCAGGCUAGAGUCUUGUAGAGGGUGUGGAAUUCCCGGUGUAGCAGUGAAAUGCGUAGAGAUCGGGAGGAACAUCUGUGGCGAAGGCGGCCACCUGGACCAACACUGACACUGAGGCACGAAAGCGUGGGGAGCAAACAGGAGUAGAAACCCUAGU